GACGAACGCUGGCGGCGUGCUUAACACAUGCGAGUCGAACGGAAAGGCCCUGCUUUUGUGGGGUGCUCGAGUGGCGAACGGGUGAGUAACACGUGAGUAACCUGCCCUUGACUUUGGGAUAACUUCAGGAAACUGGGGCUAAUACCGGAUAGGAGCUCCUGCUGCAUGGUGGGGGUUGGAAAGUUUCGGCGGUUGGGGAUGGACUCGCGGCUUAUCAGCUUGUUGGUGGGGUAGUGGCUUACCAAGGCUUUGACGGGUAGCCGGCCUGAGAGGGUGACCGGCCACAUUGGGACUGAGAUACGGCCCAGACUCCUACGGGAGGCAGCAGUGGGGAAUAUUGCACAGUGGGCGGAAGCCUGAUGCAGCAACGCCGCGUGCGGGAUGACGGCCUUCGGGUUGUAAACCGCUUUCGCCUGUGACGAAGCGUGAGUGACGGUAAUGGGUAAAGAAGCACCGGCUAACUACGUG
rnacentral:rRNA from 1 species